UACGGGGGGAGCAAGCGUUGUUCGGAUUUACUGGGCGUAAAGGGCGCGUAGGCGGCGUGACAAGUCACUUGUGAAAUCUCCGGGCUUAACUCGGAACGGUCAAGUGAUACUGUCGUGCUAGAGUACAGAAGGGGCAACUGGAAUUCUCGGUGUAGCGGUGAAAUGCGUAGAUAUCGAGAGGAACACCUGCGGCGAAGGCGGGUUGCUGGGCUGAUACUGACGCUGAGGCGCGAAGCCAGGGGAGCGAACGGG
rnacentral:rRNA from 1 species